GCUUAGAGUUUGAUCCUGGCUCAGGAUGAACGCUAGCGACAGGCUUAACACAUGCAAGUCGAGGGGUAGAGGAGGCUUGCUUCCUUGAGACCGGCGCACGGGUGCGAAACGCGUAUACAAUCUACCUUAUACAGGGGGAUAGCCCAGAGAAAUUUGGAUUAAUACCCCAUAGUAUUAUUGAGUGGCAUCAUUUAAUAAUUAAAGAUUUAUCGGUAUAAGAUGAGUAUGCGUCCUAUUAGCUAGUUGGUGAGGUAACGGCUCACCAAGGCAACGAUAGGUAGGGGUCCUGAGAGGGAGAUCCCCCACACUGGUACUGAGACACGGACCAGACUCCUACGGGAGGCAGCAGUGAGGAAUAUUGGUCAAUGGACGCAAGUCUGAACCAGCCAUGUCGCGUGCAGGAAGACGGCCUUAUGGGUUGUAAACUGCUUUUUUACGGGGAGAAACCCACGCUCGUGAGCGUGGCUGACAGUACUGUAAGAAUAAACACCGGCUAACUCCGUGCCAGCAGCCGCGGUAAUACGGAGGGUGUAAGCGUUAUCCGGAAUCAUUGGGUUUAAAGGGUCCGUAGGCGGACUAAUAAGUCAGAGGUGAAAUCCCACAGCUUAACUGUGGAACUGCCUUUGAUACUGUUAGUCUUGAGUUAUAUUGAAGUAGAUGGAAUGUGUAGUGUAGCGGUGAAAUGCUUAGAUAUUACACAGAACACCGAUUGCGAAGGCAGUCUACUAAGUAUCAACUGACGCUGAGGGACGAAAGCGUGGGGAUCAAACAGGAUUAGAUACCCUGGUAGUCCACGCCGUAAACGAUGGAUACUAGCUGUUGGGGCGAGAGCUUCAGUGGCUAAGCAAAAGUGAUAAGUAUCCCACCUGGGGAGUACGUUCGCAAGAAUGAAACUCAAAGGAAUUGACGGGGGCCUGCACAAGCGGUGGAGCAUGUGGUUUAAUUCGAUGAUACGCGAGGAACCUUACCAGGGCUUAAAUGUAGAUUGCAUGAUGUGGAAACACGUCUUUCUUCGGACUAUCUACAAGGUGCUGCAUGGUUGUCGUCAGCUCGUGCCGUGAGGUGUCAGGUUAAGUCCUAUAACGAGCGCAACCCUUGUCGUUAGUUGCCAGCGAGUAAUGUCGGGGACUCUAGCGAGACUGCCGGUGCAAACCGAGAGGAAGGUGGGGAUGACGUCAAAUCAUCGCGGCCCUUACGUCCUGGGCUACACACGUGCUACAAUGGGUGGUACAGAGGGAAGCGAUACCGCGAGGUGGAGCAAAUCCCAGAAAGCCAUCCGUAGUCCGGAUCGGAGUCUGCAACUCGACUCCGUGAAGUCGGAAUCGCUAGUAAUCGCGGAUCAGCAUGCCGCGGUGAAUACGUUCCCGGGCCUUGUACACACCGCCCGUCACACCAUGGGAGUUUGUUGCACCAGAAGCAGGUAGUCUAACCGAAAGGAGGGCGCUUGCCACGGUGUGGUCGGUGACUGGGGUGAAGUCGUAACAAGGUAACCAAGCC
rnacentral:rRNA from 1 species